rnacentral:lncRNA from 1 species
ACGCGAAAGAGGAUCGCAGAGAGGGUUACAAGGCUUUUAAGGGGUCAAUUGGGGCUCCCUUUAUCAAAUCCCAUGGAAACCCGGGUUGGGGCUCGGUCCCGAGCAGAGUACGUUCUGCUCGCGAGUUGGGGAAGAAGAAGGAAAGGAGAUCAUGAUGCUAACGCGUAGGACCUACCUGUCGGCGAGUUUGUACGCGGGGCCGAGGUGUCAGCCGGAGGAAAAGGAGGAGAGGGGAGGGUGCAUGCGACCUGGGCCCUAGGCCGUCCUGCUGGGCUGGCUCUGAGAAGCUGGGCCAAGGAAAAAGAAAGGCAGGCCGCGGGAGAGCUGGGUUGGGCGCUUGCCCGCGGCGUGAAGAAGAGAGGAGGAAGGUUUGGCUGGUCUUCUGCUGGGCCAAGAUAGAGCAAAGGAGAUUUUCUUCUUUCUCUAUUUUAUUUUUUUGUUUAUUUAUUUUUAAACUAUUUUCAAAUCAGUUUGAAACAAUUUUGAACCUUGCUCAAAAUCACACAGUACAAAAGUACAAAUACUCUAGCAUGAAUGCACAUCCAUGUUGCUAAGUUCUAUGAUAACUUUUAUUUUAAUGAAAAAAUUUCCUAUGUUUCAUGAGCACAAAAAUACAAAAUUAAAUUAAAUUCUCCUAUUCUAAAUACUUGCAAUCUUUAGGGUGUUACAUAUAUAGACUCAAUAAUCCCUCAGGUAUAAUUACCUGAUAACUAGGGGAUGCUCCUCCUCCAAGCUGGAUGUUUGCAAUACUUUGUGUAGAUGUCCUUUAGAGCAAGCUAGCUAGUGCCAACCUGGUAGGUGCCACCGGUAGACUCUCUCCUUGUUAUGAUAUUAUUCCUGCAUAGUCAUACUCCAACAAGAAAACCAAAACUCAGCCAAUGAGCAAUUGAUUAUUCUUAUGAGCUAAAUUUGAUGUUGUCUGAUUUAAGCAGGAUUUCACUUUUCUCUUCUUCCAUUUUUUGAAUUUUCCAUUUAUGAUGCAGAAAUUAAAUAUAAAUGCUAUAUAAUUUUUUAUGCCACCACAGUAAAUAUUCACAAGGGGUUACCAUAAGUUUAUUCACAUGGGA